GUGGUAGCAGAGUCACUGCAGAGAACCAGACAAUACCAGGUUGCUUAUAAAAGGAUGCCAUGUGCUUGCUGGAGGUCCCAGGUGCAACCAAAUUGCUUGCAGCUAGGAGGACCUUGAAGAGAAAUGGGAUCAGCCCGCCAAACCAAGAAGGGUUAGCACUUUUGCUAGGAGAGCUGACCACGCACAAACAGAUGAGAACCAAAACCGAGUGAAGAGGAUUGAAGAUGAACCCACAUUUUAAAAGUUCUUGUCUGCUGGAGGUGGCAUUACCUGUGACCUCGCUUCACUUCUCCAUACAUGGCUGUUAUAGCAGAAAAUCCAGCUUUCUGAAGCAUAUUUCACGACAUAUGAUGAGACUUAUGUGAUGUGAGACCUGAGAAAACUAUGAUAGAAAGAAGCAACUCAAGUUGCAAGGAUAUUCCUCAUGUAUCAUGCAAGGAUAUUCCUCAUAUAUCAUAGACUAAGGUGUCAGUAUGUUCUUCAAGCUGCUCUGCUCCUGGGCCCAAGCUAUUCUCCUGCCUCAGCCUUCCAAGAAGCUGAAACUACAAGAACACAAGACUGUACCUGGCUUGCAAACACCAUUGCUAAUAAGAAGAUAUUGUAAGACUGAUACCUAAGAGAUAAGAGAGUCUCACUCAUUCUGUCGCCCAGGCUGGAGUGCAGUGGCGUGAUCUCAGCUCACUGCAACCUCCACCUCCCGGAUUCAAGCGAUUCUCCUGCCUCAGCCUCCUGAGUAGCUGGGACUACAGGGGAUGAAGGCACAAGGAGAAAAUUACUUGAAACUUGGAGAUCUUCUCUGGCAAGCAAUUUACAAAUUCUGGUGUUCUUUGAUCUGGCUCCCCGCCCAGACAACCAGGGAGUUCUUCAUGUUCUAGCCUCAUGUGUUGCACUAUAGGCAGUAAUUUGGCAUCAGCCAUAGAGGAGGGAUCCGAUAGUUGUCAUUGCUGCCCGCCACAUAUACUCCACAUGGAAUGAUACUCAUAAUGCAUAUGUUCAAUUCCUGUCGAGGUUACACAGAGUUAUAUCUCAUGGUCGCAUCAUUUAACACCAAAAUAACAACAUUCCCAUGUGUUACAUAUACUUCAAGUAUUUCCUGAGACUUUACACGGUGCCUACGUGGGGAAUGGAUGGGUGCGUUAUGUUUCUCCCUUGGAGCAAGAGUUAGCAGGCUUUCAGGCAGUGUCACUCUGCUGUGAGGCAUGAGUCAUUUGUUGCAGCAAUGUGAGAACACCAAGGACAGACCAAUUCCAGGUGGGAUGUAGCAGGAGCAAGUAAGUUUUCUGAGGGUCUCAAGGGCACCCAAUUGUCUGAAGACUAGAAGGGCAUAAAGAGAAAUUGAACCACUGAGCUAAUCAAGGAAGAGUUACAUCUUCUUCUAGUGGACUGUUGUACAUAAACACAUAAACCAAAAACAGUGAAAGGGACUGAAAAUCAAUCUACAUUUUAAUAGUAUUUGUUGGAGAUGGCAUUACCCGUGAUCUCACUUCACGUUAUCAUGUAUGACUAUUGUGGCAGGUAUGUUUUCAAGAAGCAUGAUUGUUUCUACGAAUUCAAAAACAGGUGGCGAAAGUGACAUCAAUGAAAAGUAUGCAUUAGGGAACUUCUGUAGUCCCUCUCUCUGGAAAGGCAACUCAAAACAAUCAAGAAUCUAUCAUUAGAAGAUCAUUUUCUCAACACGAUAUAUGGGGCAUUUAUAAAAAAUCUACAGGUAGUAUUAUACUCAAGAGUGAAAGACUGAAAGCUUUCCUCCCAAGAUCAUGAACAAGGCAAGAAUGCACACUUUUGCCCUUUUCUUGUACACUUAAAAUUCUAGUCAGGGUCAUCAGACAAUGAAGAUAUAUAAAAGGCAUCCAAGUUGAAAAGAAAAAAAAGAAAAAAAAAAUGGAAAUUAUCUCUCUUCAUAAAGAUGAUGAUAUUAUAAAAAUGCUUUAAACUGCAGAAAAACCAUAUUAGAGCUAAUGAACAAUAUUCAGCAAGCCCCACAGGAUAGAACAUUAAAUCGUAAAAAUCAGUUAUAGUUGUGUACACUAGCAAUGAACAAUCUGAAAAUUGAAUUAAGAAAGCAAUUCCAUUUAUAAUAGCAUCAAAAUAAAUCAUAUUUUAAGGAGAAUAUUUCACUAAACAGAUGAAAGACUUGUACAUUGAAAAAUCACAAAAUAUUGGAGAAGAACUUAAAGAUUACCUGGAUUUUUAAAAAGGACAUCCUGUGGGUAAUGAGUUAGAAGACUAAAUAUUUAUAAUAUGGCAAUACUAGCCAUAGAGAUCUACAGAUUUAAUGUAAUCCUAAUUAUUAUUCCCAUGAGCAUUUAUUUUUGGGAAAAAGAAAGAGCAAAUUCUAAAGAUCCUAUUAAAUUGCAAGAGAUCUGAGUAACCAAACUUUGAGUAAGAAAAACCAAGGUGGAAGACACACUUCUAGAUUUCAAAAUUUACUAGAAAAUCUAGAGUAAUCAAAGCAGGCUGAUGAUCAAAUAAGAAUACACACAGUGAUUAAUGGAAGAGAUGAAGAGUCUGAAAAUAAACCCAGACAUUGUGGUCAAUUGACUUUUCACAAAGUUAUCAAGUUCAUUUAAUGAGACGUGAAUAGACUCCUUAAGAAAUAGUGCUUAGACAACUGGUUAUCCACAUGCAAAAGGAUGAAGUUAGACCUCUACCUCACAUCAUGUGCAAAAAUUAACUUGAAAUGUAUCAAAUGUCUAAAGGUAAGAGCUAAAGCUAUAAAACCUUCAGGGAAACUAUAGGAAUAAGUCUUCAAAACUUUAGAUUUGGCAAUGAUUUUUUAGCUAUACCGCCAAAAGCACCAAUAACAAAAGAAAAAAUAAAUUGGACUUCCCUGGAAUUAAAAAAUUUUGCAUCAAAGUGCACAAUUCAGAACUUGAAAAGCCAACUUACGGAGUGGGAGGAAAUAUUUCCAAAUCAAUUAUCUAAAAACUGCUAAUAUCCAAUACAUAUAAAGGACUCUUAAAAACAACAAAAGACAACCCAAUUUUUAAAAAAUAGGCCAAGGGAGAGUGACAUCACCAAAAUGGUAGAGUGGAAGCAAUCUGACUUUACCCCAAAGAAAACUAAAAAUAGCUGUCUAGUGCCAAGAUUGUCACAAGCAAUAUUGCAGAACUGAAAAUUGAGACUAUGACGAUCUGUGGGUCCACAAGAAAGUGAAUACAUAUGAGCAGCUGGAAAGAUUAAUAGACUUCUGUCUCUGUGAUUCCCCAACUCAAAGCUGCUAGGCACCAUGUAGAAAAUUCCCCCUGGACUCACGGUUUCCUCUGUAAAAUGUGAGAUCCAGGCAGGCAGCUAGCUUCUCUACCAUUUUGGUGUCCUUUGCAGGAAUGCUGUUCUUGCCUCACUCCCUAGAAAGCAUCCUGACUGCCUGUAGGAAGAAAAAUCUCUGAGGGCAGCUAGAGACAAAAAGUGGAGUCGAAGCUAGCAACCCCAGUGCAUUAAAUUUGGGGACUCGUCUUUUGCUGAGACAAAGAAGACCUCAAAUCAGAGAGGGCAUCAGCAGCAACAUGAAAAUGAACAGGAAUGAAAAAAGAACCGGAAAGGCUAUACUCUGGCCCAGCAUGGUGGCUCACGCCUGUAAUCCUAGCACUUUGGGAGGCCAAGGCAGGCGGAUGACCUGAGGUCAGGAGUUCAAGACUAGCCUGGCCAACAUGGUGAAACCCUGUCUCUACUAAAAAUACAAAAAUUAGCUGGGCGUGGUGGCACACGCCUGUAAUCCCAGCUACUUGGGAGGCUGAGGCAGGAGAAUCCCUUGAAUCCAGGAGGCAGAGAUUGCAGUGAGCCGAGAUCAUGCCAUUGCACUCCAGCCUGAGCCACAGAGCGAGACUCCAUCUCAAAAAAAAAAAAAGAAAGAAAGAGAGAGAAAGAAAGAAAGAGAGAGAGAGAGAGAGAGAGAAAGGUCAUACUUAGAUACAAUAGAUUAAAAGUCAAAAACUGUAAAGAGAGGCAAAGAAGGUCACUGUAUAACAAUGAAAAUGCCAAUACAGCAAGAGGAUAUAACAAUUGUAUAUAUGUAUGUACCCAACACUGGAACACAGAAAUAUAUAAGGCAAACAUUUGAAGAUCUAAACAGAGUGAUAGAAUGGCGUACAACAACACUGGGAGACUUCAGUACUCCACUUUCAGUAAUGGACAGCUUAAUUAGACAAAGAAACAUUGAAAUUAAACUGUUCUCUAGACCAAAUGAACUUAACUGACCUUUACAAAAUAUUUCAUCCAAUUGCUAUAGAAUAUACAUUCUUGUCAUCAGCAUAUGGAACAUUCUCCAGUAUAGAGCAUAUGUUAGGCCACAGAACAAGGCUAAACAAAUUUAAGAAAAGACCCGAAAAUAUGAAAUUACUAGAAUAAGAGCCUGGGGAAAUGCUUUAAGACAUUGUUCUGGGGAAAGAUUUUUUGUAUAAGAUCUGAAAAGCACUGGCAAUCAAAGCGAAAAUAGACAAAUGAGAGUAAAUCAAGCUAGAAAGCUUCUGCACAGCAAAGAAAACAACAAAGUGAGGAGACAACCUACAGAAAGAGAGAAUAUCUUAGCAAACUAUUGAUCUAACAAUGGAAUAACAAAUCACAAUGUAAAACAAACUCAGCUCAAUAACCAAAAACCAAAUUAUCUGAUUUACAAAUGGGCAAAUGAUCUGAAUAGGCAUUUCUGAAACAAAGACACAAAUGGCCAACAGAUAUAUGAAAAUACGUUAAACAUCACUAACCGUCAGGGAAACGCAAAUCAAAACCAUGUGAGAUACCAUAUUACCCCAGUUCAAAUGGCUCUUACUAAAAAGACAGAGAAUAACAGUUGCUGGCUAGGAAGCAAAGAGGAAUGCUUGUAUACUGUUGCUGUAAAUGUAUAUUAAUACAGCCACUAUGGGACAUAGGAUGGAGUUUCCCCAAAAAGCUAAAAAUAGAGUUACCGUAUGAUGCAGCAAUCCCGCUGCUGAGUAUAUAUUCAAAAGAAAGGAAACCAGUACAGCAAAGAGAUAUAUGCAUUGCCAUGUUUAUUGCAUCAUUAUUCACAAUAGCAAAGAUAUAGAAUCAACCUAAGUGUUCACUGACGGAUGAAUGGAUUAAGAAAAUGUGACAUACAUAUAAAAAGGAAGAUUAUUGAGCCAGAAAAAGGAAUAAAAUCCUGUCAUCUGCAGCAACAUGAAUGGAACUGUAGGACACUACGUUAAGUGAAAUAAGCCAGAUGCAGAAAGACAAAUUAUCACAUGUCCUUACUCAUGUGCAGGAGCUGAAAGAAUCCAUCUCAUGGAACUAUAGAGUAGAAUGGUGGAUACCAGAAGUUAGGAAAGGAGGGGAAUGAAGAGAGGUUGGUUAAUGGCUACAAAAAUACAGUUGGACAGAAGGAACAGGGUCUCGCCCUGUCAUCCAGGCUGGAGUGCAGUGGCAUGAUCGUGGCUCACAGCAGCCACGACCUCCCUGGGCUCCGGUGAUCCUCUCACCUCCACCUCCUGUGUAGCUGGGCCCACAGGUGCAUGCCACCACGCACAGGCCCUCCCUCCGUUGCCCAGGUGGGAGUGCAGUGGUGUGAUGUCAGUUCACUGCAACCUUGGCCUCCCGGAUUCAAGCGAUUCUCCUGCCUUAACCUUCCGAACAUGGAUCCCUGAGGUCGGUCCCCAAUACGACAAGACAAUUUGAUAUCAUAAUAGAACACUGCAGAAACAAUGCUGAGUGAAGAAGAGUAGAAAUGGGAAGACUUGGUUGAGCGGAAACUGAGUUCUUGAAAAGAGGAGAUGCUUGAUGAGGGCAUGGAUCCCUGAGGUCUGCCCCAGUACUAUAAGACAAUUUGAUGUAAGAAAACACAGCAGAUAUAAUACUGAGUGAAGAAGAGUAUAAAUGAGAAGAUUGGUUGUGCAGAUACUGAGUUCAUGAAAAGAGGAGAUGAUUGAUGAGGCCAGGUGCGGUGACUCAUGCCUGUAAUCCCUGCACUUUGGGAGGCUGCGGCGGGCGGAUCACCUGAGGUCAGGAGUUCGAGACCAGCCUGGGAGACAGAGCAUGGAAACCUAAGGUCUGUACCCAAAACUACAGGACUAUUUGACAUCAUAAUAAAACACUGCAGAUAUGAUGCUGAGUAAGAGUAGAAAUGGGAAGACUUGGUUGUGCAGUAACUGAGUUCUUGAAAAGAGGAGAUGCUUGAUGAGGGCAUGGAUCACUAAGGUCUGUUCCCAAUACAAGAAGACUCUUUGACAUCAUAAUAAAAUACUGCAGAUACGAUGCUGAGUGAAAAAGAGUAGAAAUGGGAAGACUUGGUUGUGCAGAAACUGAGUUCUUAAAGAGAGGAGAUACUUUAUGAGGCUUGGUCCGGAGAGCUGCCUUGGACUCUCCAAUGCAGCUGCCUCUGUUACCUUGACUCGUCUCAGAUUUCAUUGACCCAAGAUGGGUCCUGGCACUAGGAAUGUAAGACUGUCUCCAUUCUUUUGGCUUGUUCCAGAGAAGCCCAUGCAAGGUUCCUACUGACCAUAUGUUUCUUUCUUUUCUUUUGUUUUUUGAGACGGAGUUUCGCUGUUGUUGCCCAGGCUGGAGUGCAAUGGCGCGAUCUCCGCUCACUGCAACAUCCGCCUCCCGGACUCAAGCGAUUCUCCUGCCUCAGCCUCCCGAGUAGCUGGGAUUACAGGCAUGCGCCACCACGCCCGGCUAAUUUUGUAUUUCUAGUAGAGUUAGAGUUUCUCCAUAUUGGUCAGGCUGGUUUCGAACUCCUGGCCUCAGGUGAUCUGCCCUCCUUGGCCUCCCAAAGCGCUGGGAUUAUAGGCGUGAGCCACCGCCCCCGGCCUUGACCAUAUGUUUUAUUUCUAGCUUUGAUGUCUGGGCAUCGAUUUCCCUCGGUUAAACUAUUUGCUCAAUGUUAAGGCCACUCUGUAGAAAUUUGUCUGUGUAACUGAGGUGCUAUGCAGGCCUGCCUGUGUGACUGUCAUGCAGGCCUGUCUGUGUGAUUGUCAGGGAGAAUUGGUCUGCCACAAUCCUUUUCUAAGCAUAGCCAAUAGAGGUAGUUAGGCAUAAUUUGUAUAUUACAGAAAUUGCCUUACAGAGAGUAACACAUUUCUAUACUCUCCUUCCAUAACAGACACUUAAAAAAACAAAAAAAGUAAUGUAUGCUUGCUGUGGACCUCAUUUAAGAUUGCAACAGAAGCACUUUUCAAUACUAUUAAACAGCUUUUUACUUUCCAUAUUUUAAGCUUUUUAAUUUAUUAUUUAUUUUCUUAAUUUUCUAUUUUUAAUUUUUUGAUACAUUAUAUUUGUAUAUAUUUAAGGGUACAUGUGAAAUUUUGUUACAUGCAUACAAUGUGUAAUAAUCAAUUCAUGAUAUUUAAGUUACCUAUCAACAAAGUAUUUAUCAUUUCUAUGUGUUGGGUACAUUUCAAGUCCUUUCUUCCAGCUAUUUUAAAACUACAGAAAAGUGUUGAUUAUAGUCACCUUACUCUUCUAUCAAAGUUUAGAACUUAUUUUUUCUAACUGUAUGUUUCUACGCAUUAACCAACUCUCUUCAGCCCCACUGCCCUCCCGCAAAUACACCCUUUCCUGUCUCUGGUAUCUAUCAUUCCACGCUCCACCUCCAUGCCAACAAGUAUUUUAGCUCCUACAGAUGAAUGAGAGCUAUAUUUUCCUUUCUGUGCCUGGCUUAUUUCACUUAACAUAAUGAUCUUCAGUUCCAUCCAAGUUGCUGCAAAUACAUCAUUUCAUUUUUUUAAUGGCUGAAGAGUAUUCCAUUUUGUAUAUAUAGACUGCAUAUUCUAGGUUUUCCAGUUCGUUAGUGUAUAGUCGUUCAUAAUACUCUCUGAUGAUCUUUUGUAUUUCUGUGGUAUCAGUGGUAAUCUCUCCUUUGCCAUUUCUGAUUUUGUUUAUUUGGGUCUGUUCUUUUCUUGGUUAGUCUAGCUAGUGGUUUAUCAGGUUCAUAUGUGUGUGUGUGUGUGUAUAUAUAUAUAUAAAUAUAAAACUGUCACCCAGGCUGGAGUGCAGUGGUGUGAUCUUGGCUCACUGCAACCUCCAUCUCCUGGGUUCAAGCGAUUCUUGUGCCUCAGCCUCCCUAGUAGCUGAGUUUACAGGCGUGCGCCACCAUGCCUGGCUACUUUUUUUAUUUCUAGUAGAGAUGAGAUUUCACCAUUUUGGCCACGCUGAUCUCGAACUCCUGACCUCAAGUGAUUCACCCGUCUUGGCCUCCCGAAGUGCUGGGAUUACAGGAGUGAGCCAUCGCGCCCAGCAGUUUUGUUUAUAUUUUCAAAGAACCAAUUUUUCAUUUUGUUGAUCCUUUGUGUUGGUUUUUCAUCUCUAUUUUGUUUAGUUCUGCUUUGAUCUGUAUUAUUUAUUGAUCCAUGUUACCAUGGUUUUUUUUUAGUAGAAAAUAGCUUUUAUUUAUACAUGGAUUCAGAAAAUAAGGAAAUACUCUCAAAAAGAAAAACACUGAUAUAAAUGGACCAUGCCAUAAUAAGC
rnacentral:lncRNA from 10 species